UUACGUAUUUAUCUCUUCCCUUUACACUCAUCUCAAAUCUAUAUAUCAGUGUUUCAGUUUGAAGUUUUAUGUUUUCUUCUGGUUCUAAUUUGUUUAUUUAGUCCAUUUUGACGUUGUUCAGAGUCUUAUUUUUUUUUUCUCAGCUCUAAAUUCUCCAUUUUUAUUUCUUUGCCUUGACUCAUCGUUUUGUCUUCGAGCUCUUGUUUUAUUGAACCUAGUUGCCUAAAUUCUGUACCAUGAAGAAUUCUCAUGUAGUUGCUCUUCUAUUUCUUACGUUUAAUUUCAAACUAUAUCUUUUGUUUCUUUAUUUCUUUCUCCUUUGUUGUACUCAAUAUGUUUACAUAGUUGCUGUGCCCUUUUUUUCUUGCUGCUCCUGUUUAAUUUGGAUUUCUCUUCUCAGCCUACUAUAUUUUACUAUAGGUGAGUUUACUCUGCCACUCUCUGUUUUUGUCUUGGUGUGGGAGCUGAAAAGUUCACUUUUCCCCACCCCCCUCAAAAAAGGUGUCAACCUCCUCAUCCCCAGAUUCUGUGAAUGUUACCAUAAGUGUCAAAGUGUCAACAGAGCCAUUGCAGAUGGGAUUAAGUUAAGGAUUUUGAAAUGGGAAGAUAAUCCUGGAUUGCCUGUGUGGGGCUGAUGGAAUCACAAGAAUCUUUGUGGGAGGGAGGGAGAAGAGUAAUAGAGCAGAGAUAUGACUAUGGAAGCAGAAGUUGAAGUGAGGAGUUUUGAAGAUGAAGGAAGGAGCAAGAGUCAAGGAUUGUAGUUAGCCUCUAGAAUGGAUUUUCGCCUCGAGCCGCCAGGCAGAACCAAUCCUGAGGACACCUUGAUUUUAGGCCAUUAAGACCCAUAAUGGAAUUCUGACCUGCAGAACUAUAAGAUAAUAAAUUUAUAUUUUAAGCAACUAAAUUUGUGGUAAUUUGCUAUAGCAGCAAGAGGAAACUAACACAAUAAGGGAUCUUUAGAAUAAUCCUUUCUCUUACAUUUAGACCUAAUUUGAGCCAUUUUAUUUUUGGGAGAGGUGUUUUUUUUAUUUACGGAGUAUUGAGUUAAUAAUUCUUAUUCAUUAGCCUGGUCAAGGAAUCGCUUAUGUUUAUUUCAUUGAAUUAUAUUUUCUUUUUAUCUCAGAUCACCCGUGCCUUCCUGAUGCUCCUCCCUGUAGGCAUAUAUUUUAAUGAACUUGACUUCUAUCCUUGGAAAUUAAUUCUAUAGCAUGCACCUACUACAUUUUGCUUAUCCAUUCUUCUUGGGUUGGAAACUAAACUAAAAUUCCAAAUCCCUGUUAGUAUAAUGAUGCUAUGACUGUCAUCCUUGUAAAGACCCUCUUAUGGCGUGGGGUUCUGUGGACAUAGGCUAUAUGCUUAUUUAAUUUUACAAAAUGUAGGCUAAUUGAUCUUCAACAUGGCUACAUAGAUCAAUACUUCAUUUUACAUCAUGGUCUUUAUUAGAUCAUUUAAGUCCUUUUUUCACAUAUCCUUCUAACCGUUUGUAAGGUUUGAUCUAAUUUUAUCAUUUGAGAGACGUGAAAUAGUAUCUAAUCCUUGUUUUUACUUUUUCUGAUAGCUAAUAAGGCUGAGAAUUUCUUGAUAAAUGUGCCUAUCAUUUAGUGGUUGUGAGAGACUGAGCCCAUGGUAUUGGGGGGAACACUCAAAGACAGGGGCUGUUGGGGGUAAAGGAAACUGAAGGAGACUAGAUCAUGGCCUGGUUCUAAUGUAACUGCUAAGGUUGGAAGUAAAUACAUAUUGCUCCUAAGGGUGGAGGUGUAUUCAGUGGUAUUUAGGAGGUAGAACAAAGCUAACCUCAGAGUUCAAACCCCAUACAGAGCCCAGCUGUUUCCAGAAGAUUUAGACUGGGGCCUGGACCAGAAGCAUAAAGAAUGAGACCUUUAGGCUUGACCAAGACAGGAUUCAUGAUGAGGGCUGGGGCUGGAAAGCCAGGGGCUUCCUCUUUUCCCAAAUUGCUUGAGAAAUGACAAGGGAAAGGGUGGCAAGAGAGACAAUGGCUUGUUUUAAAAAUACAAAAGACUGUUCUCAAUAGUGGGGGAAAUUCAAUAAAUGUUAGAGUUGUAUGGAAUUAUGAGAUCUUCUCAAAUCCAUACCUAUUUACCAAUAUACACCUCACAUAUAACUUACAUUUGUACAUAAGUUAAACAGCACUAUUAAUAAGAUACAACUUUUACUGUUUUCUAUGAGACAGGCAUGAUUCUAAGCCAAGUUCUCUCAAGUACUGCCUUAUCCUCACCACUGAGAAGAUUUAGUAAUGUGGUUACCUUAGACACAUAAAGUAAUUUCCUUUGUUUAAUGUAAGUCACCUGUCCUCUGGUUUUGAUAUCAAGUAUAAGGUGUAAAAAUUUAAGUUAAUGAUCAUUUCCAUUGGAUAAAAGGCAUCAUCCUAGUCAAUGGAUUGUCACAGCCCUGCAGUCCUUGAAUACCAGCUGGGUCCCUGGAGUGCACUGAUGUAAUCCAUAGGUCAUAGUAUAUGCUGAGGCCUUAAAGAGGGCUUGCAUCAUAAUAGCCCUGAUGGUGUACUGAGCACUGGUCAGGACAGUGAUUUAGUGAGGAGAUAGCCUCUCAAAUGGUUUGUUGUUCUUGACUGUAUUAAUUUGAUUCUGUAUCAUCAAUGACUUUCGGAGAGCAGAGUUUCAGAGAGAAAGGUAACUGAUUUGAGUCACUCUCCAAAGAGUUGAAUCAUGAAGCGGAAACAAAAAAGGAAACACCUGGAAGAUGCAUACAUCCCCCAAAGUUCGAACAAGACAAAAAAAACGUUGAGUUUACAAGAAUAUGCUCUGCAGCCUAGACACGAUAGAGUGGUCCCAACUCAAGACCAGGAAGCAAAGGAUUCUUCUCCUUCAGAAUACUUCCCCGGCGUCUCUUCUGUAGACAAGCUGGCUGGUGCUGGUGAUUUGAGUUGUGAUUCUUAGCACUUGCACCUGAAGACAAACUACAACUCCUGUGACAGCUGGCUGGUAAUCUCCGAGUUCACAAUGUUUGCAGUCUGCUUUAAUUUUGAAAAGAUGUGCUUAAAUAACCGGCAACAACAGUUAUCUGAUGGAGAAAUGAGGAGAAAAGUACCUGGACAAUAAGCCAAUUUUAGGAAUUUCAGUUUUUGAAUGCCUUUUUCGGACUGAUACUGGGCUUGAUAUGAGGGAAGUGAAGAGGAAGAGAGGACAGUCAGUCCACGGUCUUGAAAAGUCCAUAAUUGACCUCACUGAGGUUCAAUAAAUGAAUAAAUAAACAAAGAACAGAAUCAAAUUAUAAUCCCACAUACGUUCAUUAAUUCUACAUAUCGUUGUUGAGCACACUGCUGGGUGUUGGGAGACACAUGUGAGUGAAUCUCUGAGUAGUUUCCACACCCCAUAAACCAAUUCAGCUGGCGGAGGUGGAACAUAGUAACCAAAGACAGCACAGAGAAAUGUGAAAAGGCAAAUGUUGAAAUUGUGGUUAAGGAGAGAUAAAAGGUAUUAUAAGAUCUUGUAAUGGGGGAUGGUUUUGAAGCAGAGAUCUAGUCAGAUAGAUCAGAAAAAGCUUCAGCAUAGAUCAGAGGAAAGGCAAUAACUAAGCGAGUAAGGGAGGGAAAACUCUCUGGGCAGAAGAAAACUGUCCAAAGGUAAGAGGGGCUUGAAGAGCAUGAGAGACAGGCAUGAUCAGUCUGGAGGAGCCAAGAAAUUGCUGGGGAAAUGAGAAAGCUGUUCACUGGAUUAAACACUUCUAAAAGACAGAGAAUGAUGAGGAUCUGGAGGUCGUAAAUACUUCUGCAGGAGCAGGGUGGGUAACUGCUGGAUGGAGUAUCACUAAACAGAAGUGCAGCUAAGGGGAAGAGUCAGGUGAGGAAAUGAAGACAGCAGGUGGAGGAAAUCUUUUGAAUGAUCUUGUGAAGAAACAAAGAGAGAUCAGCUGAAGAGUGAUGAGAGUUUAAAUUGAGUGUUUUGUUUUGUUUUUUGUGGGAGAACCUUGAGUGAAAUUAAAAAUAAUGGGAAAACUUUGAGUAUUUAUGAAAUAAGGGAUUUAUACUAUAAGGUCUGUAAUAAGGCGGGGGACAAUAAAAAGCCAGGCUUAGACGAGAAGAUGGGACAGAGAUUAUUUUUAUAAAAAGGGGAAAAAGAUGGAUAAAUAUGUGGGUUGGUUUUAUUUUUGACAUCAAGAAAGUGAUAGAAUGCCAAUAGGUGUCUUCUCUUUUCUCUCUGAAGUAGGUGGUAAAGUCAGGAGCUAAGAGUUAGGGUUAUGGUGAAUUGAAUGUUCAAGGAAAAUGUGAAAGGUUUGAGAUAGAAAUAGUCAAUAUAUGUGCAUAGGUGCACAGUUGACCAGUAGCCAUAGAU
rnacentral:lncRNA from 1 species